rnacentral:rRNA from 1 species
AGUGAACGCUGGCGGCGUGCUUAACACAUGCAAGUCGAACGAGAACGGGUUAUAGCUUGCUAUAAUUGUCAGCUAAGUGGCGCACGGGUGAGUAAUGUAUAGGUAAUAUGCCUCUUACUAAGGGAGAACAAAUGGAAACGUUUGCUAAUACCUUAUACUCCUUAUUAACAUAAGUUAAUAAGGGAAAGAUUUAUUGGUAAGAGAUUAGCCUGUAUUGUAUCAGUUAGUUGGUGGGGCAAUGGCUUACCAAGACUAUGACACAUAACUGGUUUGAGAGGAUGAUCAGUCACACUGGAACUGGGACACGGUCCAGACUCCUACGGGAGGCAGCAGUGGGGAAUAUUGCACAAUGGACGAAAGUCUGAUGCAGCAACGCCGCGUGGAGGAUGACACAUUUCGGUGCGUAAACUCCUUUUAUAUGAGAAGAUAAUGACGGUAUUAUAUGAAUAAGCACCGGCUAACUCCGUGCCAGCCGCCGCCGUAA